rnacentral:misc_RNA from 1 species
AACGCACAUUGCGCCCCUCGGUAUUCCGUGGGGCAUGCCUGUUCGAGCGUCAUCCAAACCCUCAAGCCCUCCGGUGUUGCCCUGGCUCUGGCCGGGGCUGCGCCAGGCUUGGUGUUGGGCGUCUUGUCCCCGCUGCGGCGCGGACUCGCCCCGAAUGCAUUGGCAGCGGCCGCCUGGCUCCUCGCGCAGCACAGCGCGCAGAGGGGCGAGGGUCGGCGCGCGUCCCAGCAAGCCACAUCACCAGUUUGACCUCGGAUCAGGUAGGGAUACCCGCUGAACUUAA